CACACCUGUGCUGGUGGCCAUGACAGCAGGCACCUUGCGUUCCCAGGGGAAGGUACUCUCUAUCACACACCUGGUAUCUACACCUCCCCUGUCUCAAAGGAUGGAAAUAAAUACAACAUGACGUGCCCCCGUAGCUCUGUGUACGGAGGCUGAUCCAUGGCAGCGGUCUUCACAUCCUGUUCAUUUGUUUUACUGUGUUUUUCCUCAGUGACAAAAAUCUCAGUUGUAAAUUGGACUCCCAAAGAUAGAGAAGUGGGGGAGAUACACAGGGAAUGACAAGCAGCCAAGGACCAAAAGUUCAAAUCAAACCUGCUCAGGAAUCUCCAUCCUUACCUGGAGCUGCCAGGCCACCCCAUUUUUCUAUUUCUGUCCUGAAAUUUAUAAAAGAGAAUAUCAUGUUUAAUGGAAAGAAGUAAGUUAAAUCAUGAUGCAGUGAAAAAAGUAAUCACAAUUCCUAAUGGAAUA